CGAUCGGCUCGUGUCGUGUGUGCCUGGCUCCCUGUAUGCCACACAUGUAGCCAACCCGUGGCGUGAUUGGAUGCUGUGGGUGGCGUGCAAGGAGCCAAGCAUGCAUAACAGGCCAUGAUCA